ACGUAGUUUGACUCCGUGGCUACAGAACGAACGCUGGCGGCAUGCCUAACACAUGCAAGCCGAACGAGACCUUCGGGUCUAGUGGCGCACGGGUGCGUAACACGUGGGAAUUUGCCUCGGGGUAUGGAAUAACUCAGGGAAACUUGAGCUAAUACCAUAUAAUGUCUUCGGACCAAAGAUUUAUCGCCCUGAGAUAAGCCCGCGUAGGAUUAGCUAGUUGGUGGGGUAAAGGCUCACCAAGGCGACGAUCCUUAGCUGGUCUGAGAGGAUGAUCAGCCACACUGGGACUGAGACACGGCCCAGACUCCUACGGGAGGCAGCAGUGGGGGAAUAUUGGACAAUGGGCGAAAGCCUGAUCCAGCAAUGCCGCGUGAGUGAUGAAGGCCUUCGGGUUGUAAAGCUCUUUUACUCGGGACGAUAAUGACGGUACCGAGAGAAUAAGCCCCGGCUAACUCCGUG
rnacentral:rRNA from 1 species